CACCGUCGACGCUUCCUUUGUCAUUGCUUCCACCGUCGAUGCACAAGACUGAUGUUUCCUCUAUCGUCGAUGAACGAGUCCGACGGCCUAGCUUUUGUGCGCAAUUCCGUCCGACACCGUUGCUUCCAUAUGCAGCUCCUUCCAUCAUUGAGGGAGAGGACCAUAGCUUCCUCCGCCACAGACGAACACCUUUGAAGCUUCC
rnacentral:lncRNA from 1 species